rnacentral:rRNA from 1 species
GACGAACGCUGGCGGCGUGCUUAACACAUGCAAGUCGAGCGGUAAGGCCUUUCGGGGUACACGAGCGGCGAACGGGUGAGUAACACGUGGGUGAUCUGCCCUGCACUUCGGGAUAAGCCUGGGAAACUGGGUCUAAUACCGGAUAUGACCUCCUAUCGCAUGGUGGGUGGUGGAAAGAUUUAUCGGUGCAGGAUGGGCCCGCGGCCUAUCAGCUUGUUGGUGGGGUAAUGGCCUACCAAGGCGACGACGGGUAGCCGACCUGAGAGGGUGACCGGCCACACUGGGACUGAGACACGGCCCAGACUCCUACGGGAGGCAGCAGUGGGGAAUAUUGCACAAUGGGCGAAAGCCUGAUGCAGCGACGCCGCGUGAGGGACGACGGCCUCGGUUGUAAC